rnacentral:rRNA from 1 species
UGGGGAAUCUUGGACAACGGGCGCAAGCCUGAUCCAGCCAUGCCGCGUGAGUGACGAAGGCCUUAGGGUUGUAAAGCUCUUUUGCCGGGGACGAUAAUGACGGUACCCGGAGAAUAAGUCCCGGCUAACUUCGUGCCAGCAGCCGCGGUAAUACGAAGGGGACUAGCGUUGUUCGGAAUUACUGGGCGUAAAGCGCACGUAGGCGGAUUUGUAAGUCAGGGGUGAAAUCCCGGGGCUCAACCUCGGAACUGCCUUUGAUACUGCAAAUCUCGAGUCCGAUAGAGGUGGGUGAAAUUCCUAGUGUAGAGGUGAAAUUCGUAGAUAUUAGGAAGAACACCGGUGGCGAAGGCGGCCCACUGGAUCGGUACUGACGCUGAGGUGCGAAAGCGUGGGGAGCAAACAGG